rnacentral:piRNA from 3 species
GUCUAGUGGUUAGGAUUCGGCGCUCUCA